AUAGGAUAAACUUAAAAGGUUCAAUCAUCAUGAUAACUACAACAACUCUUUUCCACACCUAAUAUGCUUGGUUUCAAAUCAUAUCUAUAGAGAUAUUUUGUAUUGAAAGUUUUUAUUUAAUAAUAAUUAAAUAAAAGGUCGCUUCAAAAAUUUAAAAAAAAAUGAUAAUAAUAAUUAACAAGGGCAGGCAUUUAGUCAACUUGGCAGGCUUUCACCAAUUGGUUAUUCAUUUUUUCUUUGAUUAAAUUAAAUUAAACUAAACUAUUAUAUAUAAUAUGGUGUUUAAUUAGCAAGAAUUGGUUGCAUUGAGAAAUAAUAAUAUCGUCCAGUUAGGUCAGUGGUCUCCUGUGUCUACUGGAAUCCGAUCGGAUCAGGUCUGGCCUAGCAUUGAACUCCAGUGCAGAUCGAGGAGCUCCAGUGCAGGUCUGGUCAUGUGAGCCGAGCCGAGCCAAGCAAUGCAACCUGCCUUGCCAAGUGGUUGAGACAGUCCUAACUUGGGGAAUACAGUUCGAAGUACGGAUUGCUAGCUUAGUGGAGGCUCCCCUUUAGUCAGUUUUAAUGAAGUAAUCAGUCAAGUAUUUUACAGAACAGAAAACUUCACAUGUUUCUGAAUCCACACAAGGACUGUAUAACGGGUGGGUUUUUCAGACUGGGUUUCUGACAUUAUAGCAAUGAGGUUCUUUGCUACUUGGUAAUAGUAGUGCUGAAAGUGGAUUAACUAUAAUCUAUAUGUACACAGGUAGAUUAAUUGCGUUUAAUCUGGUACUACUAUGUGCUUUGCAUUUGUUUUGUGUUCGGUAGACAGGAAAUGGCGGGGCUUUAUCAGUGGACAUCUAUCAGUGAACAGAAGUCCUGAGGCAAGCAAAGGAGAAGCAGACCCUCGUGCAUUGGAAGGUCCAAAACUUGGGGUCUGCAUCAGUUUGAUAUAAGAGUCGAGACCCGGAUGGGAUGUAUUGUAUGUGGGAUCAGUUGAGGACGUGCGUCUUUGAGGAGGUAAUGAUGCAGAAGGUCUGAUGAGACGAGGAUGGCUGGACACGUCCUUGAAAACAUCACUCGCUCCUAAUCCAUACCACAACCAUCAUGACAUAAUAGAUCAUCACUAUUCAUUUUAUAAUCACGAAUCAUAAAACCCCGAAUGCACUCAUUUACACAUUUUUAAUCAUAUUAACUCCAAAUUUUUUUUCAUAAUCUCGAAAAAUCAAACCAAAAUAUUAAAAAUUUAAUCCCCACAUUUUGAAAAAUCAAAUCAAAAUAUUUUAAAAUAUUACUUUUUGUUACCAUCUCCUAUUUUAGAAUUAGUCCUACUUAAUUGAUAAAUUCCGAAAUCAUUCAAAAUCCCAAUGAAUCUCAAUCCCGAACAGGCUCCAUACCUCAUAAAGCAACAGAUUCGCUCAACUUCAUCCCUGUGUUGGAGCAGGAUUGGAUUCAAAGUCUAUCCGCAAGGAAAAAGAAAUAGCACAAAAUGCAAGAACAUAAAAAUGAACCAAGGGAGAGUUAACGCAACAGACCACAGCCAUAAGUGAAAAAAACAUUGUUCCAAUUUGCAUUUCAAACUACUCCAGAAACUGGGAUUCCCAGUGAAUUUUACAGCCGAAAUUCCAAAAAGAUGCAAAAUACCGGAAACAUACAAAAAGGAUAGAGACGCACCACAGUCUUUAUUCAAUCUCCUGCAGAUGGAACAUCUCAUCCUAAAACCCCCAACAAAAUUAAAACAAGCUUGAAUGAGAUCAUAUCAUUCAUUGGUGACGUCUUCAAGCCAGGGUCUUGGCCAUGUGAGAGAUCAAG